rnacentral:rRNA from 1 species
UGGGGAAUAUUGCGCAAUGGGCGAAAGCCUGACGCAGCCAUGCCGCGUGUGUGAAGAAGGCCUUCGGGUUGUAAAGCACUUUCAAUUGGGAGGAAAGGUUCACGGCUAAUACCCGUGAGUUGUGACGUUACCUUUAGAAGAAGCACCGGCUAACUCCGUGCCAGCAGCCGCGGUAAUACGGAGGGUGCGAGCGUUAAUCGGAAUUACUGGGCGUAAAGCGCGCGUAGGUGGUCUGUUAAGUCGGAUGUGAAAGCCCCGGGCUCAACCUGGGAACUGCAUCCGAUACUGGCAGACUAGAGUGCGGGAGAGGGAGGUAGAAUUCCACGUGUAGCGGUGAAAUGCGUAGAUAUGUGGAGGAAUACCAGUGGCGAAGGCGGCCUCCUGGCUCGACACUGACACUGAGGUGCGAAAGCGUGGGGAGCAAACAGG